GCCCGAGUGGUGUAAUUGGUAGCCACGAGAGACUUAAAAUUUCUUGUCAUUUAUGACGUGCGGGUUCGACCCCCGCCUCGGGCA
rnacentral:tRNA from 1 species